UAGCACGGUGCACCCCGGGCUUUUCUGAGAUAUCCUGUGAAGGUGGAAGCCCCAAUGCUCGUGCUAAAUAUAGCUCCCGUUUAGUGUUGCAGUUCUGUAAGUUUUUACACGCACGAUCUGUGUCAAAGUGACGGCUAAAUUU